UACAGAGGGUGCUAGCGUUGUUCGGAAUCAUUGGGCGUAAAGGGCGUCUAGGCGGUCAGAUAAGUGGGAUGUGAAAUGCCCCGGCUCACCCGGGGACCGGCAUCCCAAACUGUCUGGCUUGAGUAUGGGAGAGGAUGUGGGAAUUCCUGGUGUAGCGGUGAAAUGCGUAGAUAUCAGGAGGAACACCGGUGGCGAAGGCGCACAUCUGGCCCAAUACUGACGCUAAAGCGCGAAAGCUAGGGGAGCAAACGGG
rnacentral:rRNA from 1 species